CUUUUCUUUUUAAUAGGGAGAUAUCUCUUUAAGAGAUCCAUUGGGGGGCGGUAGGAGGGAGCUGUGUCUGGGUCAUUGUUGCUAGGUAGAUUAAGCACACCACAUCCAGAAGCUUCUGGAAUUGGGUGAUGUAGUUUUGGGUCUGCUCCAAUAGGUUCCUGUUGGUGGAGUCAGACUCCAGGAGGGCCAGCAGUCAGGGCAGCUGGUUUGCAGAAGGCUACGUGCCCUGGGUGAGUUGAGAGAAGUUGAGCCCAGGAGCAGGAAGCAGGCUGGUGUCCCUACCUCUGAAGCAUUUUGCAGCUGAGUGAUUGGCUGGUAGUGAUUUCAGCAGAAGAAGUCAGCAUGGAUCCAACUGAAGAUUCGUACAAGCAAGUGGAGGAAAGAUGUUGUUUUAGAUUCAGCAGACUGUAUAGAUCCUGUGGCAUCUUAAAUUUGUUAAGUCUCUAAGGUGUCACAAGGAAGCCUUGGUUUUUGUUUUGUUUUUUUUUGCUGAUAUAGACUAACACGGCUACCACUGAAACCUGUAUAGAUGUUGGUGAUCAAAGACUCUAACUUACACUUAGGUGAACAAAACCUAAGCUUUUGGGAACUCUCUGUUUCUUCUCUCUGUAUUUCUGUGGGGAUUGAACCAUUCAAUUUUAAUUUGUUUUCUUUAUUUAUGUUUAUGUAUAACUGUGAAGAUAAUGUCUGUGGAUUAUAAAAUCUUAUGAUAAAGAAACAAACUAAUUUUUACAGCAUGA